rnacentral:rRNA from 1 species
GUGCAGCAGGCGAGAAAACUUUACAAUGUGCGAAAGCACGAUAAGGGAACUCUGAGUGCCUCCUAAGGAGGCUGUUCAGGUGUCUAAAAAGCACCUGGAGUAAGGGCUGGGUAAGACCGGUGCCAGCCGCCGCGGUAACACCGGCAGCCCAGGUGGUAGCCACUUUUAUUGGGUCUAAAAGCGUCCGUAGCCGGUUGAGUAAGUUCCUUGGGAAAUUUGGCUGCUCAACAGUCAAGCUUCCAGGGAAUACUGCUCGACUUGGGACUGGGAGAGGUCAGAGGUACUCCAGGGGUAGGGUGAAAUCCAUUAAUCCCUGGGGGACCACCGGUAGCGAAGGCGUCUGACCAGACCAGGUCCGACGGUGAGGGACGAAGGCUAGGGUCGCGAACCGGAUUAGAUACUCGCGUAGU